rnacentral:lncRNA from 1 species
CCCCUUCCCGGAGUCGGCGCUGGCCGUUGUGGCAGGAGCUCCGCUGAGGUCCCUCAGUUACGCCACGCCUCAAGGUCGCGGGCGGGGCCCAAGCCACUCCCGAGCUCCUGGUAUCACCCUUUCCCCGACCCGGAGUCCCGAUCACGUCCCCUUUGCCCACUCCCGGGUCGAGCAGCUGCUCCUCGGACCCCUGGAGGCAAAAGAGAGUCACUGCCGCUUCAGCGUUGGGUCCUGCCCGAGGGGGCGCCUCCGCCCUUCCCGGGCCCGGGCUUCCUUGACCCCAACCCACCUUGGGGGUGGACAGCUACCUGGAGUCACUGCCUCAGAGGGUUGACCCAAGUAACUUUAGGGCUCUCGCUAGAGCAAGGGGAAUACACAGCCACCCCCAGGUUAAAUGUAAUCCUCUUUAGGACGCGCCGCCACAACUGCCCUCAGAGCUGUCAGGGGCCUUGCUUUGGGGCCAGGAACAGGGUUGCCAGAUUUAGCGCACACACAAGGAUGCCCAGGUAGGAUGGGGACUGGGCAGAGCAUCCUCCACAGAUUUGUCUAACACGUGUGGCGCCUGAGAUGGGGAGCUAGGAAUUGGUCCAGGAGAGAAAAACAAACGCAGACAUUUGGAGGAUUUGAGGUAAAAAUUUAAUAAUGUGUAAUAAAUGUUCGUGAUAAUUUGGGUCUCACAAAACCCUGCCUCCCCAUACUAUAUCCUCUUACUUGGGUGAUAAAAUUCUAAUGCAACUCCGUGUUCUCACGAUCAUGACUCUCUCUCUGUGACUCACGAUCAAAAUCUGAGGCUUCAAAAUAAUGUUUUUCCUGUUUCUUUUUUUCUUUUUCUUUUUUUUAGGGCCGCACACGUGGCAUAUGGAGGUUCCCAGGCUAGGGGUCCAGUAGGAGCUGUAGCCACCAGCCUAUGCCACAGCCACAGCAACGUGGAAUCCGAGCCCUGUCUAUGACCUACACCACAGCUCACAGCAAUGGCAGAUCCUUAACCCACUGCGCAAGGCCAGGGAUUGAACCCUCGUCCUCAAGGAUGCUAGUCGGGUUUGUUAACUACUGGGCCAUGAUGGGGACUCCAUGUUUUGCCUAUUUCCUUCUGAGGGAGUGUAUAGUCACUGAAGAGUUUCAAACUCAGACUUUGGCCACCUAUUGUUCCAGAAGAUUUUAAUAUUCUAAUUAGUAAGAGGAAAUCAUGAGAACAAGUAAGAGAGUCCCAGUUCCUCCAUAUGUUCAUGGAGACAAAGAGAAUCCAGUCCAUCAUUCUGUAAUUUUCAGAGACCUUUCCAAUACCUGCUAAGUCCAGUGUGAAAACAGGCUAAUAGCACAUCCAGUCUCCCGCUUUUACUGGUCCCCUUGGAGUUCCUGGGCUCCAGCAAUGCUAAAUUGGUUGUUAGUACCAUGAUGUUCUGAUGCAUUAGGAAAGCUUUUUUGACCCCCCCAAAGCCUAAUUUCAGAUAGUCCUUUUUGCCAAUGUGGCAUCUUUUAUGUCACUGUGUUGGGGAUAUGAAUUUUUAAUCUCCUUAAAAUAUAGUAUGUUGAAGGUGCAAAAUUUGGCAUCGAACAAGUAAGAUGAAGAAUUGACUUCAGGAAGGGAGUCCCCUUGCUGAGGCUGCUCUUGCCAGUUGGGGCUCUGGAGGUAGCUGUUUGGAAAAGGAAUUGGGUUCUGCCCUUAAAAGUAAAGUUAUUCGGCAAAGUGAAGAAGCCUUGAUACAGCUGCGAGCCCAGGAGCAGCUGUGGACCUAACACCCUCCUGCACACCUUUAAGGAUGCUAAAGGCUUGUGACUGCUCAUUAGUACCUACAAAUCAUUUAAAUUAUCAGUUUCUUGAUCCAUUGUGAGCUCAUUAAUUAAUAUUUUUUCUCAAUACAUUUAAGGUCAAAAGAGGUUGCAAGUAGAAGACUAAUUCAAUCACUUGCACACAUGGGCAUCGAUCUCUUUCUCCUGCCCUCUCUCCUUGGCACCCUCCUUCAACAGCAUCCAUCCCUGGGCUUUUGUGAGUCAACCCUGCUCCAGAAGCUCCACUCACCCCCUCAUAGCCAGCACGUGCUUUCUUCCUGUCAGUCUCUUCGUUCCUUUGUUCCUCCUGACACACAGUCACAUCUCUUUCCCAUCUCUUAGUUGUUCUGUACACGGUGUAUGUUUUAUUUUUCAAUUUUCCUAUCUUACCUCUCCUUUUCUUUAGCAAACACAUAUUCAUUGCAUUCUGAGGCUUUGUCCUUGAUUCUUUCCCUAAUCAGUUGCUAUUAUUUUUUUGUAAUUUUUCUUUUUCUUUUUUUUUUUUUUUCCUGUUGCUUUGUUUUUUUCACUUUCUUGGGGUAUGAAAAGCAGAGUGCAGAUGCUGAUGCUAGUCCACCUCACCAGCAGCCCUGGUGCCAGAACUUCUAGUCUCUUCAUUGCUGGGCUCUUGCAUUCUUGUGAGAGCAGGUGUAGCAAAUCCCCUCCCCUCCCCCUCCAGCCUGUUUCAGGAAGUUUGGGUGGGUCAUUCCCACUGGGCGCUAUGUUCAGUCUCUUUCCUUGAAGCCAAAUAUGCCUCCAGGUGUCCUGCUCUUCUAGGGCCUGUGGAGAGAACAGCUCAGAAGUCAACAGCAACGUUCGCAGGCAGAGAACGGGCAGGUUGGUGAAGAAACUAGUGACAGAAGCAUGCAGUGAGUGGGGAGCUGUUUUCCUGGAUUACUUUGAAUAAGGUGCUUCUUUAAUAUCUUAUGCUCAAACUGCAUUUUAUUGGAAGAUUUAAGGUUGGUGAAGAACUGAUGCUCCAAGUUUGGUAAAAUUGAUUCUAGAUUUUUUUUUUUUUUUUUUUUUUUUUUUUUUUGGCUUGAUGACCUUCUAAAGGGGCACUGGAAUGGUGUUUCUGGUUUCUCUUUGAGAGUCUCCUAUCUUCCCCAGGGAAUGUAAUUUGUCUUCUACCUCUGGCUGUCUUUAUGUCCUGCCUGGGGGUCUAAGCCUCAGUAUAAAUAGUUUGGCAGUUGAGUGGGGUGGGCGCUGUGGGUCCCACUGUUAAGGAUGUGAAUUUUCUCUG